rnacentral:sRNA from 1 species
GCUUGUGCAGCGUCGGAUCCUUGAGUGAUAAAGAAGUAGAGGGAAAGGCACUCCUAGGGGACAUAAAAUUAGUGAUUACUUUGAGUUUGCUGGGGGAAGCGGGCCAGGAACCAGCCCUGGCAGAAGUGUUCCACCAGUUGCACGAUCCUCACCGCAACAUUCCUUAUCCAAUCCCUUACCG